rnacentral:rRNA from 1 species
UACGAAGGGGGCUAGCGUUGCUCGGAAUCACUGGGCGUAAAGCGCACGUAGGCGGAUCGUUAAGUCGGGGGUGAAAUCCUGGAGCUCAACUCCAGAACUGCCUCCGAUACUGGCGAUCUUGGAGUCCGGGAGAGGUGAGUGGAACUCCGGAGUGUAGGGGUGAAAUUCGUAGAUAUUCGCAAGAACACCAGUGGCGAAGGCGGCUCACUGGCCCGAUACUGACGCUGAGGCACGAAAGCGUGGGGAGCAAACAGGG